CAUGAAGUCGGAAUUGCUAGUAAUCGCGGAUCGGCAUGCCGCGGUGAAUACGUUCCCGGGCCUUGUACACACCGCCCGUCACACCAUGGGAGCCGGUAAUACCCGAAGUCGGUAGUCUAACCGCAAGGAGGACGCCGCCGAAGGUGGGGUUGAUGAUUAGGGUUAAGUCGUAACAAGGUACC
rnacentral:rRNA from 1 species